AUGUUUUGGGAGGAGGAUGCCACCUUAAUCCUUCAGCUACCAUUAUGGGACAGGACCGAGGAUUUCCUUGCCUGGCACUUUGACAGCAAAGGCAUGUUUCCUAUUAAACAAGCCUACAAACUACAAUGAGUUUUCUCCGAGCAACUUGCUGAGGGCCAGGGAGGCGAACCACAGGCAGUUGGCGAUCUGAAUGGUGGUGGCGAUGUGAGAUGGAAAAGAAUAUGGGAGCUACCUUGCCCGGGGAAGAUCAGACACUUUGUCUGGCGAAUGGCACAUAAUACAAUUGCCACCAAGGACAUUAUGGGAAGGAGAGGAAUGGAUAUAGAGGAGCACAAGUGCUUUUUGUGCAACUCAAGGCACGAGUCAGGAAAACACCUGUUUGUUGAGUGCAAUGAGGUCAAACCGGUGUGGAGGAGACUGGAUCUCGAACAUGUCAGACAAUAACUCUCAGCAUGAGCUUCCAUUGGUGAGACCCUGGACUUAGUGUGGAAAUUGUCGGAGAAGGACAGGUUGCAGGUUAUUGUUAUGUGGUGGCAGUGGUGGAACCAAAGGAACAAGGUGCGAGAAGGGGAGAAGCCCAUGGACCUCGACCAUUUCGUGUUUAGGGCUGCAUGCACGGCUGCAGAAUACCAGGGGUGUUUUUGCGAAGCACCGAAACCUAGUGGGAUUAACCCUUAGUGUUGGUCUCCGCCGCCCCUCGAUGAGCUAAAAUUCAAUGUUGACGGCGCCUACACCCCCGGCAGCCAACAUGGUGCCUGGGCCAUGAUCUCCCGUGACUCUAUGGGGAUAGUGGUAGCCGCACGAGCGGGGCGGUGGAUCACAUAG
rnacentral:rRNA from 1 species